GUGAAUCAUCAAAUCUUUGAACGCAUAUUGCACUCUCUGGUAUUCCGGAGGGUAUGCCUGUUUGAGGGUAAUUAAAAUGAAUCUUUAACCUAUUUUUUUUGGUCAUAGGCAAUGUGUUAUCUGAGUUUAUAGCGGUAGCUUGAAAUAAAUGGUCAAGUCUCAUUUUAGUCGAGACGUGUAAUAAUAUUAUAACGCGGAAUCUUCAUUAUGUGAUUAUUAAGUUUCGAUGCAU
rnacentral:misc_RNA from 1 species